rnacentral:lncRNA from 1 species
UAUUCCAACCCCAACUUUUCCUUCUUUUCGCACGUUUUCCGGAAUUUUUCCAUAUUUUUCAUUUUUUUUCCAUCGUUUUUCAACAUUUCCCCAAUAUUUUCCCACGUUUUUCCAUAUUUUUCCCAUUUUUCCAUCAUUUUUCCAUAUUUUUCCCAUUUUUCCAUCAUUUUUUCCAAUAUUUUUUUCCACAUUUUUCCACAUUUUUCCAUAUUCUCCCACCUUUUCCCAUUUUCCCACAUUUUCCCAUAUUUUUUCCUCAUUUUCCCACAUUUUCCCAUAAUUUUUCCAUAUUCUUUCCGCAAUUUUCCAAUAUUUUUCCAUAUUUUUCCAUCAUUUUUCCACAUUUUUCCCACAUUUUUCCAUAUUCUUUCCACAUUUUCCCAUUUUUCCAAUAUUUUCCCACAUUUUUUCCAUAUUUAUUCCACAUUUUCCCACUUUUUCCACAUUUCCCACAUUUUCCAUAUUUUUCCAUAUUUUUCCAUAUUUUUUCCACAUUUUCCCAAUUUUUUCCCAAUUUUUUUCCCAAUUUUUUUCCCAAUUUUUUCCCAAUUUUUCCACAUUUUUCCCAUCAUUUUUUCCAUCAUUUUUCCCACAUUUUCCCAAUUUUUUCCCAAUUUUUUCCCAAUUUUUUUCCCAAUUUUUUCCCAAUUUUUUCCCAAUUUAUUUCCAAUUUUUUUCCCCAAUUUUUUCCCAAUUUUUUCCCAAUUUUUUUCCCAAUUUUUUCCCAAUUUUUCCACAUUUUUUCCACAUUUUUCCACAUUUUUCCACUUUUUUUUCCCAAUUUUUUUCCCAAUUUUUCCCCAAUUUUUUCCCAAUUUUUCCCCAUUUUCCCAAUUUUUCCCCAUUUUCCCAAAAAAAACCCCUCCAAAAUUCCUCCGUUUUUCCACCAAAACCCUCCCAGAAUUCCCGAUUUUUCCCAGACUUUUCUCCUCCUUUUCCAAGAUUUUUAUAAAAAAUUCCAUUCCCGACCCAAAUUCCUUUUUUUUUUUUCCCGUUUUUUCCUCAUUUUUCCCACCCUCAUUCCCGGUUUUUUUUCCCGCCUCCCUUUUGGAAAAAUCCGGAAUUUUCCCCUCCCCCACCCACCAAAAAAAAAAUCCCGAAAAAAAAAAUGGGAAAAUCCCAAAAAAAAAUUCACCAGGAACGGAAAAUUCUGGAAAAUCCCCCCCAAAAAAUUCCCAAAAAAUCCCCCCAAAAAAUCCCCAAAAAUUCCCCAAAAAUCCCCAAAGAAUUCCCAAAAAAUGCCCCAAAAAUUCCCAAAAAAUUCCCAAAAAAUCCAAAAAAAUUCCAAAAAAAUCCCAAAGAAUUCCUAAAAAAUUCCCAAAAAAUCCCAAAGAAUUCCCAAAAAAUGCCCCAAAAAUUCCCCAAAAAUUCCCAAAAAAUCCAAAAAAAUUCCAAAAAAAUCCCCCCAAAAAUCCCCAAAAAUUCCCAAAAAAUUCCCAAAAAAUCCCCAAAGAAUUCCCAAAAAAUGCCCCAAAAAUUCCCAAAAAAUUCCCAAAAAAUCAAAAAAAAUUCCAAAAAAAUCCCAAAGAAUUCCUAAAAAAUUCCCCAAAAAUCCCCAAAGAAUUCCCAAAAAAUGCCCCAAAAAUUCCCCAAAAAUUCCCAAAAAAUCCAAAAAAAUUCCAAAAAAACCCCCCCAAAAAUCCCCAAAAAUUCCCCAAAAAUUCCCAAAAAAUCCCCAAAGAAUUCCCAAAAAAUGCCCCAAAAAUUCCCCAAAAAUUCCCAAAAAAUCAAAAAAAGUUCCAAAAAAAUCCUCCCGAAAAUCCCCAAAAAUUCCCCAAAGAAUUCCCAAAAAAUCCCAAAAAAUUCCCAAAAUAUUCCCCCAAAAAUCCCAAAGAAUUCCCGGAAAACGACGGCGCCGGGGGCGGAAUUUGGGAUCGGCCAAUCCCAGUUGGGCACUGGGAGCACUGGGAACGCCGGGAAGUGACCGGAACCACGGAAUGCUGGGAAUUCCCCACUUAAUUAAUGAAUUAAUGAAUGAAUUCACCCCUAAUUAAUUACUUAGAGAUCGUUAAUUAGCCACGGGAAGGAGUUGGG